rnacentral:tRNA from 1 species
AUUUAAAUAGCUUAUUAAGAGCGUGGCACUGAAGAUGCCAAGGAAACUGUUAGGUUUUUAGAUA